UGGAGAUCCUUGUCUAUAUGAGGCCUUCUAAGGCAAACUCUCAGGGAUUCCUGUAUGGUGUUUUACAUACUCAAGAGUCCACUGAUUGAGAACUGUCAGGUCAGUUUGACAGAAUUAGCUGGAAUGGGAAUGCUUCCACCAAUAUUCCUUGUGGUUUGUCAGUGCCCUGCCUGAUAAGAGAUGUGG